CGCGCAGGCGGCCUGGUAAGUCAGAUGUGAAAGCCCACGGCUCAACCGUGGAAGUGCAUUUGAAACUGCUAGGCUUGAGUAUCAGAGGGGAAGGUGGAAUUCCCGGUGUAGAGGUGAAAUUCGUAGAUAUCGGGAGGAAUACCGGUGGCGAAGGCGACUUUCUGGCUGAAUACUGACGCUGAGGCGCGAAAGCGUGGGGAGCAAACA
rnacentral:rRNA from 1 species